GGGUCAGUAGGUUGGUCGUGCCACCGGUACGUACUGGUCUCACUGAUUCCUCCUUCCUGAAGAACCGUAAUGCCAUUAAUUUGGUGUUGCGGGGAAACAGGACUGUUACUUUGAAAAAAUUAGAGUGUUUAAAGCAAGCUAACGCUUGAAUACAUUAGCAUGGAAUAAUGAAAUAGGACGAUCGAUCCCAUUUUGUUGGCUUCUAGGAUUGACGUA
rnacentral:rRNA from 1 species